rnacentral:rRNA from 1 species
GUCUACAUUAGAUACCCCGGUAGUCCCAGCCGUAAACUAUGCGCGUUAGGUGUAUCGGUGACCACGAGUCACCGAGGUGCCGAAGGGAAACCGUGAAACGUGCCGCCUGGGAAGUACGGUCGCAAGGCUGAAACUUAAAGGGAUUGGCGGGGGAGGCACCACAACGGGUGGAGCCUGCGGUUUAAUUGGACUCAACGCCGGGAAGCUCACCGGAUAAGACAGCGGAAUGAUUGCCGGGCUGAAGACUCUGCAUGACUAGCUG